UACGUAGGGGGCAAGCGUUGUCCGGAUUUAUUGGGCGUAAAGAGCGUGUAGGCGGCCAGAUAGGUCUGUUGUGAAACUCGAGGCUCAACCUCGAGACGCCGAUGGAAACCAUUUGGCUAGAGUCCGGAAGAGGAGAGUGGAAUUCCCGGUGUAGCGGUGAAAUGCGCAGAUAUCGGGAAAGAACACCCGUGGCGAAGGCGGCUCUCUGGGACGGUACUGACGCUGAGACGGCGGAAAAGCGUGGGGAGCGAACAGG
rnacentral:rRNA from 1 species